UUUUUUGGUUUUUCUUCCUGAAGGAGUGAGGACAUGGUUGGAACACUUGAUCUUUUCUUUCACUGGAAGGAUAAACAGUACUGGAACUCACAAGAAAGCUUCAGUUACAGUCUUCUUCUUGGACACUGAUGGGAAUGCCUAACUAAGAUCUGUCACUGAGAGAGCUUGGAUUUUCACAGUCCUUCUCCCUGAAGAACCGGUUAUGCUGAAUCUGAGCCAAGGCAGGGUUUGAGUGACUGACACCUUCUCCCCUCUUGGCCCUGGGAGCUGAGGCGUUCAGGACCGUGGCAAACCGGUAUUUCAGGUCCCCUUGGCAACCCCAGUGCCCCAUCUCUGGAGGAGGACU